AUGCGCCCCUCCGCGGCGGCCACGGCCGCCUUCCUAGCCCCCGCCGUCACGGCCUCCAGCCGCCUGGUUCCGCUCCGGCGGGCGAGGCGCUUCGCCGUACGCUGCGUCGCCGCCCCUCCCGCCUCCAAGCCUGCGUACUCGCCCUCCAAGACUGGAAAUUGGCAGUGGACAUUUGAGGAUAAACCAGUAAGCGUUUACUAUGAGGAACAUGAGCAGGGGACUGCUGAGAAUGUGAAGAACAUCCUUAUGAUCCCUACGAUUUCUGAUGUUAGCACAGUGGAGGAAUGGAGGGUGGUCGCCAAAGAUAUUGUGACACGGAAAGGAGAACUCAGCUACCGUGCUACUAUUGUUGAUUGGCCUGGUCUGGGUUAUUCAGACAGGCCAUCACUGAACUAUAAUGCUGAUGUGAUGGAGAAUUUUCUGGUUCAGCUACUGAACUCACCAAAUAGUCCUGUGGCGGAUGCAGAUGGUGAACUGGUAGUUGUUGGAGGUGGUCAUGCAGCAACCAUAGCUAUCCGUGCAGCUGGGAAGGGCCUUAUCAGACCAUCUGCGGUUGCUGCUGUUGCACCUACUUGGGCUGGACCCCUUCCAAUUGUAUUUGGCCGAGGUUCUGAUAUGGAAACAAGGUACGGGCUUCUACGAGGAACCCUCAGGGCCCCAGCCAUCGGCUGGAUGAUGUACAAUCUUCUGGUGAGCAACGAAAAGUCCAUCCAGUCCCAGUACAAGUCCCAUGUGUAUGCCAACCCUGAGAAUGUGACACCAGAAAUCGUCGAGAGCCGCUAUGAAUUGACCAAAAGAAAAGGCGCACGAUACGUCCCUGCCGCGUUCCUGACGGGCCUUCUCGACCCCGUCCAGUCGAGGGAAGAGUUCCUGCAGCUGUUUGCCAAGUUGGAUGGAGAUGUCCCUGUUUUAGUGGUGUCGACGCUGAAUUCCCCCAAGAGGUCCAAGGCCGAGAUGGAGGCUCUCAAGGGCGCCAAAGGCGUGACCAAAUUCGUGGAGGUCCCGGGCGCGCUUCUGCCGCAGGAAGAAUACCCCUUGGCAGUUGCGGAGGAGCUCUACGACUUCCUGCAGGAAUCAUUCUCGUCAGGAAGAUGA
rnacentral:rRNA from 1 species